rnacentral:lncRNA from 1 species
AUGGAGCCGUAUCGGUUGGACAUCCACCUUCGUGGCGGGGCCCUGCUCCAAGCUGCUUUAACCAUCGAGAAAUUUCUUGAAUUAAAGUCAGAUUUUGUUGUAACAGGAGAAUAUGCUAAAUUACUGUUAGAGACGGAAGUACUCAAUGGAACAUUAAACGAAAAAAACACUACUAUCGACCACAUUGAACUCUACGAUCAUGAAACGAUGGUUAAUUUCCUGGAGGAUGGAAUCCUGGAGGAUCUGCCGGAUGCAGAGUUAUUCCAUGAUGACCUGGAACCACCCAUGCCGGAAUUUGAUGAACAUGAAGAAAGGUCAACUUAUUGGACGCGGGUUCUUAAUUACAAGUAUGUUCUGCGGCACAAUGAAGGUUCUGAUCCAGAAAUUGAGUUAGUCACAAAUGCAACAGAGUUACUCAUACAUAUAUAUGGCAGUGAUCAUGUCCAACAUAUGGUCAAAUCCCGAUCCAAAAAAGUGGCGUACAUAUGGAUGAAUGUGGCGGAGCAACUGGCCAAACAUGGUUUUCCUAUUCCAGCAAAACCAGGAAAAACGAUCGGCAAACAGUGUGACGACAAGUUUCGAGGUAUAAAGAACAAGUAUCAAUCUCAUUUGGCGCCAAAAACUGGGCAAGCAAGAACGAAGAAGCCUCCAUACUUUGACCUGAUGCAUAAAUACUUUGGCGACAAACAGAUCUCAGUACCUACUUGUCUAAAUGAUUCGCUUGCACGAAGGGUGCGUGAUCGUAGUCCAAUUGUAUCAGCACACAAGCCCUCCACUCCGCCCGUUCCCACUACUUCUGCCACCUCCAACACUGCUGCAGCCUCCUCUUCUCCAACCUCCUCUUCUCCUGCGUCCUCUUCUCCUGCGUCCUCUUCUCCUGCCAUUCUUAACAAAUCACGCUUUCAGGCAAAGUCUGUACUUAAGCCCAAACCAGCAACUACAGGGGAUGUUUUAAAUUUGAUUGAAAAAACUAACGAAACAUCCAAAAAUCAAACCGAAUUGUCUCUACAAACUUUAAAGCAAAUGCACGAACAAGAUUAUAACCAAAUGGAACGGUUCCUAAGAAUGUAUUCCGAAGCUAACAAUUUAGGAAACUUCGAUGAGAACAAAGAAAAUUAA